AAAUUGAAGAGUUUGAUCAUGGCUCAGAUUGAACGCUGGCGGCAGGCCUAACACAUGCAAGUCGAGCGGUAGCACAGAGAGCUUGCUCUCGGGUGACGAGCGGCGGACGGGUGAGUAAUGUCUGGGAAACUGCCUGAUGGAGGGGGAUAACUACUGGAAACGGUAGCUAAUACCGCAUAACGUCGCAAGACCAAAGUGGGGGACCUUCGGGCCUCAUGCCAUCAGAUGUGCCCAGAUGGGAUUAGCUAGUAGGUGGGGUAACGGCUCACCUAGGCGACGAUCCCUAGCUGGUCUGAGAGGAUGACCAGCCACACUGGAACUGAGACACGGUCCAGACUCCUACGGGAGGCAGCAGUGGGGAAUAUUGCACAAUGGGCGCAAGCCUGAUGCAGCCAUGCCGCGUGUGUGAAGAAGGCCUUCGGGUUGUAAAGCACUUUCAGCGGGGAGGAAGGCGUUAAGGUUAAUAACCUUG
rnacentral:rRNA from 1 species